GUGACAGGCAGUCUGAGCGCCGCCCUUACAAGGCGGAUGUCGGCGGUUCGAAACCGUCUGCGCCCA
rnacentral:tRNA from 1 species